GGCCUGCUCUGUGGCGGCUGAGGGGCAGGGCCGGAGGCCGUGGAGGGGAAGGGGCACUGCAGGCCCAGCGGUGCCAGCAGGCAGCCACAGCCCAACCGCGGCCCCCCUGGCCCAGGAGCAGAGGGGCCCUGCCCGCGCCGGCUGGGGAGCCCCUGCCUGCCCCCGCCUGCCCUCUCCGCUGCAGGCAGACCCCCAGCACCCCUCUGCCCGGCGGCGGGGAGCUGCACGCAGUGCUGGAGCCAGCAGUGUUCAAACUGUUGCAGGAGACUGUAAGGGGAGGCAGGAAGCUUAGUGGCAUGGAACUCCAGCCCCGGGGUGGGACAGGCUCCCAUCCCUCCUUGGCCAAAGAGACUUAAGGAAUGCCGCCCUGAGCACCCGCUGCCACGCCUCACCUGGCCCCAGCCCAGCGGCAGGCGACUGUUUGCCUCUUACAGCUGCCUACUCCAGCACAGAGGGAGAUGGGCCUGCGGCUCCAUCAAGAUCCCAAUCAAGCCUUUACUUAUUUCCCUGAUGUGCUGUUCCCUUUUGUUCCAUUGCUGUUACCUGUGAUAAGAUGGCUGACCCCAACAUCGCUACAACCUCCUUUCAGGGAGAUGUAGAGAGCUUAAUAGUCUACUGCGUGCCUAUUCUUAUCCAGAAUAGCUACAGAAACAACAGCAACAAAAAUUGAGGAGAAAUCACAGGGAGCAGGAGCUGAUCAGGGUUCUUAUUUGGUAGUGUACAGGGACUGCUUUCACUCUAGUCAUACUCACUUGGAGAGUAGAAAUAGUUUUUGUGCUGGAAAAUGGCGAGCUUACUUCUAACAUAAUGUUGUUUAACAAAAGUCUGUCUGUAAUUUACACUGCUCAAACAUUUUCUGUUAGCUCAUUGUAUUAUUGUUUGCUUUUAUAGGUUGGGAUUUUUGAGAUACCCAUCCCAGUGACGUGCUUUUUUUUACAUAACACCUUUGUAUCAUCAUAUUAUUGCUUCAGAAGUACUGUAGGCUUAGCAGUGCAAAGGGUCUAUGUCCCCCAGGACAAAUGUGUUUGUAUGGUUGUGGUCUGUGUGUGUUUUUCUACUUUAAAAAACAAAUCCUCAGACAAAACAACUUUUAGAAGCUGGUCUGAAUGUCCAGCUUUUCUGACAGUCAAGAACUCAGGUACAUAAAGAAUGAAAAUUAGCAGGGCGAGCCACGCCAAAUGUUGUGCCUUCCCACGUUCCUCACGCACGGCCUACUUAAGCAAAUGGGAACUCUCCCAGUGGUGCCAGUAUAUAAAAAAAAAAAACUGUGAAAGAAGCAGAGUCCAAACCAAGAGGCGAUCUAUUUCUCCCAUGUAGGACAUCCUUCUUCCUCUCUCCCAGGAAACACAGCAUUUAGGCCAAGUGCGGGCUUUAGCAAACUUCAUUUCUGCACCUGUCCCACAUACGGGGAAAGCAGAAAGCAAGCUGCCUGUCUGACGUUGUGAAGGAAGCAGCCACCUCAAGGGCCCAUCCUUUCACAUUCUUCUGUGGGCUGACUGCAGCCCUGAGCCACCUGCACCUCUCUGCAGCUGUGCAGCUUGCAAUGGGCCUGUAGCAUGGUGUGCGUCAGCACUGCUGUCCUCCAGCCAGGGGAGAGCUGCAGUGCUCGGUGGGGGAUUUACAGAGCAGGGAACUGCUCUGUUGCAGCUCCUAAUGCAGUUCUGAAAACCCUUCCGUAAAUGUCACUAUCAUUUUGUUGCAAGUGAUUUGCUUUUCUGCACAACCCUUUUCGCUCAUACCUCAGUGGGAAGCUGCUUUGAAUUUUAAUUCACGAUUAUUCAGCUCCUGUCACACCUACAUAGCGCCUUUGCUUCAAGCUUGUACAUGAUGUUCUGCUGCCUUUGAGUGCAUGGGAGCAGCUAGGGCAGGAAAAAUGAGAUGGAAGUGAGAAAGUUGUGUGUCCUAUGUGAAGGGAAUUAAUCGAAUGAAAAAUCCAAUCAGAAAAAUCUACAGGCAACAAGUGAGACCAGUGGAAUUCAGCUUAUGCUCAAAGACAGCACUUAUCCAGAUCUUUGGCUCUUUAAUUGCAGCAGGGCAUACCAAAAGCAGGUAGAGGUGUUUUGUAGGAUCCAGCAACAUUGUUACUAUAAAGAAACUUUUAAUGCUUUGCAAAACAUCCAAGCGUAGAAUAUAAAGAGAAGAUGUCAGCUGUACGGUAAGGCAUUCAAAAUUAGCAUUUUGUGUGAUUCGGAAUAAGAUUAUCUGAUCUCUUCCCGCUUUCUGAAUUUAGAAAUACUUGGAAGAGUCCCAUCAAGAGGUAUAGCGUGAGAAGACACAUCUGUGGAGGAGCAGAGCAAGGGGGCUGCUGUGUGCUGGCACCACUGCAAGGGGAAAGAUGUUCUGGCCAUGCCUGGCUGCCAGUGAGCCAAGCUCGGGGCUUCUGAGCAUCUGUGUGCCACUGGGAAACUGUGCCGGAGAUGCUCUCCCAUGGAAAAGUGAGAGAGAAUGAGUAAUGUCCUCUGUUCCAAGUGACACCUGUUCUGAUCCUAGGCUGCUUUAGGUGCUGUUUGACAGUGGAGGGAGCUGCCAGCUCACCAUGGCCUGGCUCCGCAAGCAGAGCCCAGCUUUCUUGCUGGUGGCCCCUCAGAGAUGGUGUCAAAUUUGCAGGAGGUGGAUGCUGGCCUGGAAGUGCCCGGUGCACUUCAGCUACCUUCGGGCAUGGUUUGCGUGCCCAUACCGUGCACGCAGAACCCCAAGCUGAACUGAUCUGCAGCCUUCCUGCCCUGGCCAGCAGCAGCGGCACAAAGCAUGGCUUAGUUCCAACCCUGAAGGAAAAAGAGUUUAUUCACGUGAUCCUGCUUGCUGGCUGCUGGUGGCAGAGCGUGGCAUGGGCUGGGCCGUGCUGGUUUGGCAGGUACAUGUGGCAGUGUAUGUGGUUGGGCAGGAUGGGUUCUGAGUCAGAAGCUCCUGUGACGUUGCUAAAUUCAGCUUGUUCUGCUUUACACUGGAGCUGCUUUGGUGCAGCCUUUCUGCCUUCAGAAAUAUGGAUCAGACCCAGUUCUUGUGAGUUGCAUAUAUUCAUUCAUUAGGCCUGGAAAAAGGGAGUGAGAAGAAGUUCUGCCCAUGGUACAGCCCUCGGACUGGCAGGUAUGUGACAGCAAUUAAGCACUGAGGCAGCCUGCCUUCUCAGCCAGGACAUGGCACAUUAUUUCUCUGAUAUCUGGAUGUCAGAUGAUUUCAUCUGAAGUUCUAGCAAGACCCUGAACUGAGGAUCUGGGAACACACACCGGCUUUGCUGUGGUUCUCACUCUGGUUUAUUGCAUUGUGCCCAAGAAGCCAGAUUGUUACCUGGCUAGGGCUCAGAGAGAAUGUGAUACCUACCAAAUGCCAUAUUAAAUAGAAUCUUUUUUCCUGGCCCCAUGCAGUGCUUCAAAUCCUGUCCAUCAUUCCCCAAGUGCUAGAAUGCAGCACUCUUGCCUUCAUCUCAGUAGAUUCACCAGGACCAGCUGGGUGCCAAAGGUCUGAUCUGGUCUGAGUUCACGAUAGAUCUCAUGUGCAGCAGUGACUGGCUCCCAUCAGCUCACCUGAUCACUUAUUCCAGGGAAGCAACAUUCAGAUUUGCCAGCAAACUGUCUCUGACACACUCUAAAAAGUAUCUUUUCCAGGGAAGGGCUUAAUGUCAUCCUUUUAUGUUCUCUUUUUUUAAAAUAUCUUUUUAUUAUUAUUAUUAUUAUUGUAACACAAGAAGCAGAAGAUGCCGAAGAAAAUACUUCAAAGGCAUCAUAUCUCCCUCCUCAGCUGAGAGGAGCAAAGGUUUUGUAGUUAAAUGGGGAAAGCUUUGUUUCUAGGUUUCUGAGUUUUGACACAAAUCCCUGUGGGACCCAUGUCCCUGGGCCUCCCCAGCCUCUGCACAGCGAUACUUUUCUUUGCAAAAGUAGGGCUUGUGCUGGAGUAAACACAAAAAAAUGCAGAGAUGCUCAAGGCAGCGGGAAGCAGUCUAUGCCACACUUCUGGUGAACGGCUGCGAGUUAACUGCUGGCAGUGUGCACCUCUGUCAUUUCAGCGUGUAGAAAGCCCAUGUCCCAGGGUUGAAAACCCACCACACUCAUGGAUGUGAGCUCCUCUCUGCAGCCCCUUCCCAGGAGCAACCCCAACUCAAACAAGCAGAGCUCAUCCAAAUUUAACCUGCGGGUUUUGCAGAAAAGCUUGAGGGAGUCCCUGCGGCUUUCCAGUUUUCUGUUCUAUGAUGCAAAUUCAGGUUUAGACUGACCCCUAAAGGGCAGCAAGGACCUGUUAGAUUUCAGACCAGCCUCAUAAACUUCCAAAAUCUUGAGAAACUGAUUUACCUGCAGCUUUGAGCCACAAUAAAAGUUGAUUUGGAAAUUCACCUCAACUCAGUUUCUGACUGCAGAUGAGAGCAGCAUAUUUUCCAGUCUGCAAAAUCUGUCAGCUUUCAGCAGAAAAUGCGCUUUAGAACUUUACAUACUUUCUGCCUGAUCAGUCCCUUGUGUUUGAGUAUCACAAAAUACUUGCGACAACCUGUGAUGUACUUGUCUACCACUGCUUUUCAAGCUAGGUAUUAGGAAAAAGCUUCUCCAAAAGAGCGGUCGGGCACUGGCACAGGCUGCCUGGGGAACUGGGGGAGUCACCGUCCCUGGAGGUGUUCAAGAAGCAUGGGGAUGUGGCGCUGAAGGACGUGGAUAGUGGGCAGUGAUGGAGGAGGGAAGGGGUAAUAAAGAGACAAGAAUACGGCAACACAUGAUUGUGACUCUCUCCUCUGCCUCCUUCCCUGUGCUGGUGGUAGGGCUCUGCACUCAAACUUCAAAUGCAAAUCACAGUUGCCAUUAUGGCUGAAUAAACGAGAGAAUGAACCAUU